rnacentral:rRNA from 1 species
GAUGAACGCUGGCGGCAUGCCUAAUACAUGCAAGUCGAACGAGAGGAAGGAAAGCUUGCUUUUCUGAAUCUAGUGGCGAACGUGUGAGUAACACGUAGGUAACCUGCCCAUGUGCCCGGGAUAACUUCUGGAAACGGAUGCUAAAACCGGAUAGGUAGCAGACAAGCAUUUGACUGCUAUUAAAGUGGCUAAGGCCAUGAACAUGGAUGGACCUGCAGUGCAUUAGCUAGUUGGUGAGGUAACGGCCCACCAAGGCGACGAUGCAUAGCCGGCCUGAGAGGGCGGACGGCCACAUUGGGACUGAGACACGGCCCAAACUCCUACGGGAGGCAGCAGUAGGGAAUUUUCGUCAAUGGGGGGAACCCUGAACGAGCAAUGCCGCGUGAGUGAGGAAGGUCUUCGGAUCGUAAAACUCUGUUGUAAGAGAAAAACGACAUUCAUAGGGAAUGAUGAGUGAGUGAUGGUAUCUUACCAGAAAGUCACGGCUAACUACGUGCCAGCAGCCGCCGUAAAAC